rnacentral:rRNA from 1 species
GGGCCCGCACAAGCGGCGGAGCAUGCGGAUUAAUUCGAUGCAACGCGAAGAACCUUACCAAGGCUUGACAUACACCAGACCGUUCUGGAAACAGUUCCUCCCCUUUGGGUUGGUGUACAGGUGGUGCAUGGUUGUCGUCAGCUCGUGUCGUGAGAUGUUGGGUUAAGUCCCGCAACGAGCGCAACCCUCGUUCUAUGUUGCCAGCACGUAAUGGUGGGAACUCAUAGGAGACUGCCGGGGUCAACUCGGAGGAAGGUGGGG